GGAAGUAAAAGUCGUAACAAGAUUUCCGUAGGUGAACCUGCGGAAGGAUCAUUAAAGAGUCAGGGUCUUCUAGGCCCGACCUCCCAACCCUUUGUUUACCCAACCAUUUGUUGCUUCGGCGGGCCCGUCUUUAUUGACCGCCGGAGGACCGUCGAGAGACGCCCUCUGGCCAGCGCCCGUCGAUGGCCAACUAUACUUAAACUCUGAAUAAACAUGCCUAAAUCUAAGUCCUUAUUAAAUAAAGCAAAACUUUCAACAACGGAUCUCUUGGUUCUG
rnacentral:misc_RNA from 1 species